rnacentral:lncRNA from 1 species
UCUGGGAGUGCAUUGUUUGGCUGGUGAUGCGCAUGCUUGGUGGAGGAGGAUGAUGGGUACUCGACGGUUGGUGGCGUUGGAGAUGAAGUUGAGUUCUACGGAAUGCUGUACGGGGCGUAUUUCCGAAACAGUGUGAAGCAGAAACUCGAAGAAGAUUUAAAGAAGCUACAGCAGGGGGUGCGAUUAGUUCAGGAGUACACUCGUG